rnacentral:lncRNA from 1 species
AAGCUUCCAAUCUCAUUUUAUCUCCAUUACUUUCUACACCAAAAUUGGGUCCCACAACCCGGUUCUUUGUCUAGAGGAUAGCAGUUGAGUACUAGUGGUGGUCUCGGAUAGAAUUGGUAAGAAGACAUCAAACCUUUUGAAAGCUUCAAAGGUAAUACUUCUUAAAACCCUAAUUUGAUUAGUUUAUGGUUACAUGUUAAUUGUGGCAAUUAGGGUAGAAAUUCGAUUCUUUUUCCGCUGUGCAUGACUUAGUUCUAUCACUAAUACACCCAUUGAUACACCUAAUACUUCUUGAUACACCUGAUACAUUUGAUUGAUACACUUGAUGCACCUGAUACUCUUUGAUACACUCGAUACCGAAACAUGCUAAUAUAUGUUUGAUACACCUGAUACAUUGCAUAUACAUUUAGUAUUAUCCACUUAUACAAUUGAUUGAUUAAAUGAACUUGAUAUGCUUGAAGUCCUACUUAUACACUUGAUAUGCUAUCGAUAUACACUUGUAAACUCGAUUCAUAUACUUGUUAAUGAUUCACUUUACUGAUAUGUUUUAACAAUAUAUUGUUGAUAUACUUGAUAAUGAUAUAUUGAAUUACAUCAUUCAUAUACUUAAUAAUACUCUAAUAAACUACAUAAAAUUUGAAAAAAUGAAAACCACGUAGUAAGUAUAUUAACCAACUAAUACAUAUAAUAUAAGUAUACUACAAUACUAUCAUACGAAACUGAGACAGAGUAAAACAAAAAAAUUAAUAUAAAAAAAUAAAAGAAAAUCAUUUGGAAUCAAAUUCAACUCAAAAUACACAUAAAGAAAGUAAAAAAAAAUCACAAAUAAAGUUAAAUUACUCCAAUCAACAACCAUUAUAUUAUAUUAUUCAUAUUAAAACUAAUGUACUAUUGAUAUUUUAAAAUUAAGAUGAAGACAGAAAGAAUAAAUAAUUUUUCUAGUAUAAGAAUAAACAAGUAAUUAGGGCCUUAAAAAGUGGGAGCAUAAAUAAAUAAUGAGUAGGACAUUAAAAAGAGGAAGAAAAAUAAGUUAUUGAAUGGUAGUUUAGAAAUAAUGUCAAAUUUAAGAUGAAGAAGUAAAAAUUUUACCAUAUUUGCAAAAUUCUAAAACAAUGUGCUAUAAUUGUUAUAUUAUAUUCUCAAAAUGUCAUCCUAUGCAAUUUUCCUAAAAAAUAACCCUCAACUAUUAAAAAGUUUUAAAAAAUAUAAUACCCUUAUGCUUCAAAAAAAAAAAAAAAAGUUAAAAGAUAAUCUCCAAAUUUUGCACCAAUUUAUAAAAUAAAAAUAAAAAUUUUAAAUUAAAACUAUAGUUUUAUUUUUAUCUGACUAUUAACCCAUAAUCAUAGAUCACAAACAUAACCCUUCUCAAUAGUUAUUGUUGUACCAUUGUCAAAUAACAAAAUGUAUAUGACUAUUAACAUAUAGUGAUAGUCUGAUAGAUCUCUCAACGUGAGAUGUUUUUUAUUUGACUAGUAAUUGUUUUAACGAGAAAACUUCGUGAAAUUUUGUAAAAUUGUAUGGUUUAAAUCAUGUUUAAGAUAUGAAUGUUGACUGAUAUAUUGAAGUCUUGAUAUUACAUAAAUUUUGAUUUCGAUAGAUAUUUUUGAAAAAUUAUUAUAAAAACAAUAAUUAAAAAAUAAUAAUUUUAAAUUAGUAAAUAAAUAUUUUAUUAUUUUCAAAUAAGUAAACAUGUCUAUUAUUUAUAUUUUAUAUUAGUGUUAUUUUUAUGUUUAUUUGUUGUGAUUUGUGCAUUUUUCUAUGGUGUAAUGGAAAUAUUGCUUCAUUACUAUCAAUAUCAAACACAUGAAAAUGUGAAAAUAUCGAUAGAAAUGCCUACAUAUGGAUGAAAAUUUAAAACUAUAGUUUUAACUUAAAGUUUUGAUUUUUAUUUUGAGGGAUAAGAAAUUUUGUUUAAAAAUUAGAUAAAUGAAAGUAUUUUUGAAUUUUUUAUAAGUUUAAGAGUGUUUAUGAAAAUUUUGAAUAGUUGGAGGAUACUUUUGAAACAAAAUUUUAAUAGUUUUCAUACAAAACUAACUUAUAGAACUUUUGAACCAUUUUUAAAAGUUUAAAAACAGAUUAAAAUUUCUUAAUUUUGUUUCUCUCCUACUCGUCGUCCUCCCAAGUUUCGUUGAAGGCUUCGCUCACAGCGUUGCCUCCGAAACAAAUGGGUAUCCCUUUUGAUUUUGUUGAACGACCGAGUUUUGCACUUUACCUCCGAAACUCAAUCGCUUGCAUGUUCACCACUCUUCUUGGUGAACAUGCAAUUCCGACUCAGUUUUCCCCUUCCACUUCCCCUUGCCGCUUGGACUCCCAUUUGCCGAUCGAGUAUUUUUUUCUCUCUGAUUUGGACACUUCCUACACUAUCGUUACUAUCAUCUUCUGCAAUUGGGAUGUUUGAGCAAGGUAGGGUUGGAGGUAAGUGGUUGGAUUUUGAGUUUCUAUCGAAGCUGAUGAUAAGGAUUACACUUAUGUAUUGUCUGAAUAAUUAUUUGUGAUUAAUUCUGUUUAUGUACUUGUCUGAAUAAUUAUUUGUAAUUGUUUUUGUUUUUUUCUUCAAUUUACUUCCAAUUUUUUCAUAUUCGGUCAUCCCUGUUUGAAACUGCAAUGUUGUUGUUUGUUUUUCAUGUUUCUGAUUAGUUUUGUUUGUUUAAAUUCAUAAUUAUUCGUAAUUACUUUUGUUUAUGUGCUUCUCUGAAAAAUUAUUUGAAGUAGUUUUGUUUCUUACUUCAAUUUACGUUCAUUUUUUUCAUUUUUGGGCAUCCUCUUUGAAACUACAAUGUUGUUUAUUUUCCAUGUUUUUGAUUAGUUUUGUUUCUUUGAAUUCAUAAUUAUUUGUAAUUACUUUUGUUUAUGUGCUUGUCUGGAAAAUUAUUCGUAAGUAGUUUUGUUUCUUACUUCAAUGUCCUUCCAUAUUUUUUCAUUUUUGGCCAUCCCCGUCUGAAACUACAAUGUUGUCCUUGUUUUUCAUGUUUUUGAUUAGUUUUGUUUGUUUGAAUUUCUUGUUGCUACGAUGUUUAGCAAUCUGAACACUGCAUUUUCAGGCAUGUUUUUUAAUUGGUGCCCUAAGAAAUAUGUUGUCAUAUUUAUUUCUUUUGACACUAAGAAAUAUGUUGUCAUAUUUAUUUCUUUUGACAUUUGACAUUUGAGUAACUAUGUUUACAGUUUCAGUUUACUUGCAAUUAAGAUGCCUUAUGAUGUUGAGUUGCUGUGAAGUCUGCUCUCUUUAUUUGCAAGCAACUGUCUGUUCUGUUUUAUUCUCUUUAUUUGUAAGCAAAUCUCAUCAAUCCAUAACAUUGCACUGUCUGUGUUCAAUCAUUUUCCUUGGUUAUGCAUUUGUCUAUUCAUAGCUUAUCUUUGUCUUAAUGUGGUAGGUUUUGACUAUGUCCUCCUCUUUUCUGUACACUUCUGUCAUUUAAAGAGGUUCCCUUCUUUUAUUUUUUUGGUAUGGGUCAAUAAAGGCAUACUUGACCAUCUAUCCCUCUAUAUAUAGCACUUCAUUUGUUGUAUUUUAUUAUGUGUUGUUUUCCUUGCUUCCUCCUCUGUUCUUUCUUCAUUUGGUAGGUAAAUUCAUUUUCUUUUAUUCUUUUGAAGUUCCAUUUGUCCUUCUUUUUUCUUUUGUCAUAUCUAUGUUAACAAGAAUGUGCAUGUCUGUCCUUACUGUUCAAUUCCGAUCUGUUAUGUUUAAGGCAUAUUAUGGGUCAUGAAUUUCUUCAUUAUUUGAAGGAUAUACCUUCUUAUACAUAAAACCUUAUCCACUGCCAUUUCAUACUUUUCAUGAUUUCUUUCAUGUCAUCUCAUGUUUACUAUCCAUAGCCAUUUUAAGGGAUGUUGAUGUUGAUGUUGAUGUUGUAUGAUUGUUUGAUAUAUAUUUUUUGUGUCGAUGUUGUAUGACUGUUUGAUUUUUAUGUGUUGAUGUUGUAUGCUUAUUUUGUUUGCAUUUACAACCCUAUAUAUACUUUGCUGCAUAAUUUGUAUUGAUGUUCUACUAAUAGAUUCAGUUCGUUACAUCGAACAGAUUCAACUCCUCUGAGGCACAACAUUUUUUAAAAAUAAAAUAAGAUUUUUCUCAUUCAUUUAAUGAAUCUUGUUUUUUCAUUUCAUCAUCGACAUUCCUCCAAAUAAUAGGGUAUGUAAGCGAUACACUUCAUCCUUAUAGUAUUUUUACUCGUACUUGUGUUAGACAGAAACACCGAUUUCCUUACUUUCUUUGCAGAAUAUUCGACUUCAUACUGUUGGAAUUUUUUUGUCCUAAAACUCGUAGUUUGUAAAUCACUAUUCUGUUCAAUAAAGUUGUUAUUGAGAAAUUAAAUAUUAUAAUCUUAAAUCCAAUAAAUCAAGUUCCAAGGCUAUUUUUUGAAUAAACUUGAACUUUAUGUGUAAACAUAAACGUGGAUCAAGUUCGAGUAUAUAGCCUAAAAUAGUCUAUAGUAUAUGAAAUAAAGGUUGGGCCCUUAUUUAGAGAAACUAUGGAUGCGGCCCACUUUGUAGUACAAACGACGUAUCGUUCAUGUAGAGACAUGAAAGUGGGGGCAUCCUAUGUAAAAUGUUUACAUAAGACUGAACCAUGAAUUAGUCUUUUUUACGUUAUAACACCGUUUACUGUUUAAAACUUGACUAUCUCAAUUAUUGAUGACCUAGGUAACUUAGUCUUAAUCCUGAGUUAACUAUAACUCCUGUUCACAUGAGAUUAUCCUUAGAUCUGCAUAGGUGAGGGCAGCUCAUCAAGCGUUGGCCCAAUAAGCCUCCCAUUUCAGGGUAAGAUCGGGUGGAUAGCUGGGAACAUAGGGUACAAGAUGGAAUUCACUCCUACCCGCUUUAGGGUUAGUAGAUAGGUUGCUCUCUUAAGCACUGAAUCCAAGUCUUGAACAAGGGGCCCCACCCUCUCAUUGGCCCGAGAGGGAUUAAGUUUAUAGGUUGAACCUUAAACCAAUUGUUCAAUAGUGGAUUAGUGGGACUUAAGGAGCAAGAUGUAAUCUUGGGGGUAAAACGGUAUUUUGACCCAGCCAAGGUUACGAGCAACCUGUGAAGGAUUAACUUACUGAUUAUGGUUUUAUCAAAUGGACACAAAUAUAUCUAUAGUGAGGGGAGUGCAACUACGGGACUUUAGUGGAAUGACCCGUUAGUUAACGAAUGUUGAUUAACUCGGUUUAAAAGAGUUUAGCUAGUUAAUCUUGAAUCGUUGGAGCCCAUGAUCUAUAGGUCCAUUAGGUUCCUCUGCUAGCUCAUAUGGAUUAAACUUAGAACAGUGUGAUGAAAUAAGUCGAAUUGUUCGAAUUGGGAGAAGAAAGGGAAACCGACAUAUACAGUGAUAUAGUCGUCGAUCUUCUAAUUAGAAAUAGAGCUUUAUGUUUUACAUACUAUAAGUAUGAAUGCGGAUUCAUACUAAGAAGCUCGGAAUUGGUCAAAAAUAGUAAAAAGUCAAAAUGUUGACUUUUGACUUUGAAAAAGUCAAACUUUGACCGGCCUUAUAUUCAAAUGUGAUUUGAAUUUUGGAAAAAUGAAUGCGGAUUCAUGCUCGGGAGGUUGGAAUUAGUCAAGACGGACAAAAUGGUAAAAAGUCAAAAUGAUUGACUUUUGACUUUUGACUAGAAAUAUCUAAUGACCAUUUUACCCUUGGACUAAGUUAGUGGGAAAAUCCAACAUUUUGUUGGAUAAUCCCACUAACUCUUAGUGGGAUAUGUGGCUAUAUGAGAUAUAGACACCUAGCCCACUAAGUUCCACUAAUUGUUAGUGGAAUAUUAGGUGUUGAGAUUUGGCAAUUGAAUUGCAUGCAUUUUUGCAUGUAAUUAGGCUAUAAAUAGAGAUGUUUUCAAAUGUUGAAGGACUUUUGCCUCUUUUAUCAUUUUCAUCAUCUCAACAAAAGAAAAAAGAAAGCUUCCAAUCUCAUUUUAUCUCCAUUAUUUUCUACACCAAAAUUGGGUCCCACAUCCCGGUUCUUUGUCUAGAGGAUAGCAGUUGAGUACUAGUGGUGGUCUCGGGUAGAAUUGGUAAGAAGACAUCAAACCUUUUGAAAGCUUCAAAGGUAAUACUUCUUAAAACCCUAAUUUGAUUAGUUUAUGGUUACAUGUUAAUUGUGGCAAUUAGGGUAGAAAUUCGAUUCUUUUUCCGCUGUGCAUGACUUAGUUCUAUCAUGUGGUAUCAGAGCAUGCUUCAUUUUUACCCAAUUGCAUGUGGUGGGUUCAUAUUUAUUAGAUAAAUUUUGGUUUGAACUAAAAUGGAUAUAUUAUGAUUUUGGCUCUAGAUUAAGUGUUUUUGUUCUAAUUAUUGUAAUUAGCCUUGUUGAUGGCUUAUUUUUAUUGUUGCAAAGUGUUUGUAAUUUUUAAAAAAAUAAAAAAAGUCAUUAGAGUUGAAGCUAGGCUGUAAUUGGUUCAACCGAGUGAGAGAAUUGAAAAAAAAUGAAGAAAAGAAGGUCACAGACCCGAAAACCCGCCUUGACCCGCUUCGCGACCCGCACGCGCCUGCGCGCCCUCCUGCGCCCGCGCGCCCGCCUUCGCUCGCGCGCCUGCCUUCGCACGACCCGUGUGCGCCUGGGCCAGUUCAAGCCAAUAAAUUUGGUUUUUGGGCCGGUUCAAGCGGUUUCGGUUGGUUUUUUAGCCGGUUCGAAGUUUUUGGGAGUGGUUCUGUACUACACCAAAUUAAUUAUGUAAUAAUUUAGCACUUAGCUUAAUUUAGGAGCCAAAAAUCAGUCCAUUUUAGGGUGUUCUUUUUUAUUUAUGCAUGUGAUGUAUGAUUAAAUUACUUUAAAUUUGUAUGUGCAUUUUGAAUGUCAUAUAGCACUAGUACAAAAGUGGGCUACGACGACAGUUAUUUACUGUCGCGAACGGAUUUCGUGACAGUUAUUUUCAGUCAUAGAGCGGGAGUCAUGGAAAGGCCUUCGACGACAGUUUUUGAAAACUGUCGCAAUAGGUUGUUUUAUGACAUGAAAUAAAUGUCGUUAAUCAACAUUCAACGACAUUCAAUAACUGUCAUAAUUUAUUUUAUAACAUUCAAUAACUAUCAUCAUUUCUUUAUUAACGACAGUUAAAUAAUUGUCACGAAUUCUAUUAUCGUGACAUGUAUUAAUUGUCAUGAAUAUGUUUUUCGCGACAGUUUUUUUUGUAAAAAUGUCAUUGUUUAGUUAUUGACGACAUUUUUUUCCAGUCAACGAUUGUGCAAUCGUGACAGUUUUUCGAUAACAUUAAAUGUCAUUGUUUUGCCAUUGACGACAUUUUUUCCCAUUCAAUAAUAUAAUGCAAUCGUGACAGUUUUUUUUUUAAAAAAAUUGUCAUUGUUUAUCUUAUGACGACAUGUUAUUCCUGUCACAUAUAGAGCAAUCGUGACAAUUUAUUUUGUUAAAUAACUGUCAUCGUUCUCCAAUUUACAACAACUAUUAACUAUCACAUUUCUCAAUUUCCUAUAGUUUUAUUUUGUUCUCCAUGCAGCUCCACCAUUACACGAACCAUUAGAAUGACAAUAAUGUAGCUGAGAAUGACAAAUUUGAAAUUAUACAAGUUUCACACCAAUGUACAAGAAAAUAGCCAACACUUUAAUAUAUAUACACUAUAAUACGAUUUAUAAUAUUUGUACAUCUUAAUACAAGUUUCAGUAAUCCACAUGUACGAAAUACUAACCCUUAAUCAAAAAAUAUCUUAAAUAACAUUCGAAUAUAUUUGACUGGACCAACCGAGAAUGUUCGUUUCUGGAAAUGAUAUUUGAAACAAAACUCAUGAACUUGUCGACUCCAGUUGAAC